ensembl:snRNA U6 U6 spliceosomal RNA
GCUCACUUUGGCUGUGCAUGCGGUAAAAUCAGGCUGGUACUGAGAUCAGCAUGGCCCAUGUACAACAAUGACAUGCAAAUUCAGGACGCAUUCUGUGGUUUU